rnacentral:rRNA from 1 species
GCCUGAUUUUCCGAGAGGUGGUGCAUGGCCGCCGUCCAGUUCGUACCGUAAGGCGUUCUGUUAAGUCAGAUAACGAACGAGACCCUCAUCUUUAAUUGCUACUAUUAAGUCCGCUUAAUAGGCACAUUAAAGAAACCGUUGGCGAUAAGUCAGAGGAAGGCGAGGGCAACGGUAGGUCAGUAUGCCCUGAAUCCUCCGGGCUACACGCGCGCUACAAAGGCUAGGACAAUGAGCUUCGAUACCGAGAGGUGAAGGUAAUCUCGAAACCUAGUCAUAGUUCGGAUUGAGGGUUGAAACUCACCCUCAUGAAGCUGGAAUCCGUAGUAAUCGCAGAUCAACAUCCUGCGGUGAAUAUGCCCCUGCUCCUUGCACACACCGCCCGUCAAACCAUGCGAGUUGGGCCUGAGUGAGGAUGUAGUUCUUGCUACGUUCAAACUUAGACUUAGUAAGCGGGGUUAAGUCGUAACAAGGUAGCCUCAGUCAGA